UAAGGAAUAUUGGUCAAUGGAGGCAACUCUGAACCAGCCAUGCCGCGUGCAGGAAGAAGGCCCUAUGGGUCGUAAACUGCUUUUGAACAAGAGAAAACCCCGGUACGUGUACUGGGUUGAUAGUAUUGUUAGAAUAAGCAUCGGCUAACUUCGUGCCAGCAGCCGCGGUAAGACGAAGGAUGCAAGCGUUAUCCGGAUUCAUUGGGUUUAAAGGUGCGUAGGCGGACUGAUAAGUCAGUGGUGAAAUCUCUCGGCUUAACCGAGAAACUGCCAUUGAUACUGUUAGUCUAGAGUACAGAUGAUGUGGGCGGAAUAUGACAUGUAAGUGGUGAAAUACUUAGAUAUGUCAUAGAACACCGAUUGCGAAGGCAGCUGACUGGACCUUGAUUGACGCUGAGGCACGAAAGCGUGGGAGCGAACAGGAUUAGAUACCCCAGUAGUCCCUGAGCGGGCUGGCAAGGCGCAU
rnacentral:rRNA from 1 species